GUUGGUACUAAUUGCAGAAACUUAAAGCAAGUGAUUAAAAGAAAAAUCAAAUAGUAAAAAGAAAAAGAAAAUAAUGACUAGAUAUACAAUCACACAAAUAAUAAUAAUGCAAAAGAUAAAAUAACAAUAAAAUAAAAUAAUAUUUACUAGUAGCUGUGAUUAUGGCUCACAUCUUCCUCUGAUCUUACGUCUAAUACCGACUUGAACGCCCUCUUUGGGUUGAUGAUAUGCUUAAUAUUCAGUUUUCUUAUAAACUGGCACACAUGCUCUUUUAGAGUCAGAUUCCCAAGACUAAACUGUGCACUAUCAUUUUGAAAUAGCUUCCAUAAAUUAUGAAUUUCAUGUUGCACAUAUUUACUCAGAUGCGUUUCAAGAGAUCAUAAGAUAUCAUCUAACAGUUCUUUACUUAUGCCAUCCUUAACGAAUUUGAUUUUAUCUUCACGAUUUACAGAAACCUUUCCUAAAUUUUUACAACGUGGUUUGUGUAAGCAAGUCUUACACAAUUAGGACAUUUAGAGCCAAGCCGCUUGGCUCUUCUUUUUUGAACAAAUGUGCUUUUAUCAAAAUCAAGCAUGUAGGAAAAAAAUGGAUCCGAAAACUCACCUGCCAAUUGGAUUUUUGCUUUAAUUAACCAACGAUUGUCAGUAGAAAUCCCAUUAAUCAUUAACAAACGCAAUCGUUCACAACAAGUUUUGUAAAUCUUCUUAAGAGCAUUUUGAGUGAGAGAAGGAAAAUGCUUGUGAAAUUUAUGUCAUAUUUCUUCUAUACUUGAUUUUAGGGUUUCAGUUAUUGUGGAAGACUAAAAAUACCGACUUAAAAAGUCACGGAGUACCGUUAUUCACCAUUUAUAUGAGAAAAUAAAUAAAAACAUAUCAAAGAAACGAAUCAAUUCUGUAAAAUUAAAUCAAAAGUGAAGAGGAACAACAAAAUACAAACACAAUGAAAUAAACAAACAUGUAACUCACAUUUGCCCUUUUAUCAAAUUUACUUCAAGUUCUAAUUGGAGUUCAUAAAUACCAUCCUAUAUUUCUCUGAGUUGUCUUUCUAGAUUUUCAACGUGCGAUACUAGCUCUGGUAGUUGUAGAUCCUAAACAGAAUGUGAUUUACAAACUUGGAGCAAGCUUCUUAGGUGAAAUUUUACAUGUAAGAGUUCUCUAAGAUGUUUGAAAAGGAUCCUUCUCAUGGAGGUGCACAUAACAAAUAUUAAAAAUGGUAAAAUGAAACACAACUGUCAAAUAAACACAUUUAAAAACAACAUAAUACACUCCACUCAAGAAAUAAAAAAAUCAAAUAAUCCACACGGUAGAAUAACAGUAAACCAAAAUGACAAAUAAAUAAAUAAAUAAAUCAAACAAAAGGCUUAAUUAAGAUUUGAUUGGUCACUCAAAUUGAUUUCGGUGUUUGCUUCACGUGGUUGAUAUUCUAGAUAUGGUUUCAAUUUUGGGAUAUUAUCAUUUUACUGCCAAAGUUUUACUGACAUGAUAUGUCAGUAACAAGGCUUGUUGAAAAGUAUAUUUUACUACUAAAGUUUUGCGCCGUUAUGAAUUCACUACUAUUCCGUUAACAACGUUAAAAAUUUGCUGAUGUCAUAAGGGCAUCAAAGAUUUUCCA
rnacentral:lncRNA from 1 species